AGCGCACACGGUGGAUGCCUAGGCGGUCAGAGGCGAUGAAGGACGUGGUAGCCUGCGAAAAGUGUCGGGGAGCUGGCAACAAGCUUUGAUCCGGCAAUAUCCGAAUGGGGAAACCCACUGCUUCGGCAGUAUCCUGCAGUGAAUUCAUAGCUGCUGGAAGCGAACCCGGUGAACUGAAAUAUCUAAGUAACCGGAGGAAAAGAAAUCAACCGAGAUUCCCUAAGUAGUGACGAGCGAACGGGGAGCAGCCCUUAAGCUGGAAUGGCUUUAGAAAAACAAUCUGGAAAGAUUGGCCAUAGAAGGUGAUAGCCCUGUAUUUAAAAGGGCCACUCCAGUGAAGACGAGUAGGGCGGGGCACGUGAAACCCUGUCUGAAUAUGGGGGGACCAUCCUCCAAGGCUAAAUACUCCUGACCGACCGAUAGUGAACCAGUACCGUGAGGGAAAGGCGAAAAGAACCCCGGAGAGGGGAGUGAAAUAGAUCCUGAAACCGUGUGCGUACAAGCAGUAGGAGCUCGCAAGAGUGACUGCGUACCUUUUGUAUAAUGGGUCAGCGACUUACUGUUCGUGGCAAGCUUAACCGUAUAGGGGAGGCGAAGGGAAACCGAGUCUGAUAAGGGCGCAUAGUCGCGGGCAGUAGACCCGAAACCGGGUGAUCUAGUCAUGGCCAGGGUGAAGGUGCCGUAACAGGUACUGGAGGCCCGAACCCACGUCUGUUGCAAAAGACGGGGAUGAGCUGUGAUUAGGAGUGAAAAGCUAAUCGAACCCGGAGAUAGCUGGUUCUCCUCGAAAGCUAUUUAGGUAGCGCCUCGGACGAAUACUACUGGGGGUAGAGCACUGUUAUGGCUAGGGGGUCAUCGCGACUUACCAAACCAUUGCAAACUCCGAAUACCAGUACGUACUAUCCGGGAGACACACGGCGGGUGCUAACGUCCGUCGUGAAAAGGGAAACAACCCAGACCCACAGCUAAGGUCCCAAAUUCACUGCUAAGUGGAAAACGAUGUGGAAAGGCAUAGACAGCCAGGAGGUUGGCUUAGAAGCAGCCACCCUUUAAAGAAAGCGUAAUAGCUCACUGGUCGAGUCGGUCUGCGCGGAAGAUUUAACGGGGCUAAGCAGUGAACCGAAGCUUGGGGUGCAUAAAACUUGUUUUAUGCGCGGUAGAGGAGCGUUCCGUAAGCCUGCGAAGGUGGAUUGAGAAGUCUGCUGGAGGUAUCGGAAGUGCGAAUGCUGACAUGAGUAACGAUAAUGCGGGUGAAAAGCCCGCACGCCGAAAGCCCAAGGUUUCCUUGCGCAACGUUAAUCGACGCAGGGUUAGUCGGUCCCUAAGGCGAGGGCGAAAGCCGUAGUCGAUGGGAAGCAGGUUAAUAUUCCUGCACCUCGCGUGAGUGCGAUGGAGGGACGGAGAAGGUUAGGUGUACCGGGCGUUGGUUGUCCCGGGGAAAGGCGGUAGGUUUGGAUCUUUGGCAAAUCCGGGAUCCUUUAAGACCGAGCACCGAGACGAGCCUUUAUGGCGAAGUCACUGAUACCACGCUUCCAGGAAAAGCUCCUAAGCUUCAGCUCACGAAGACCGUACCGUAAACCGACACAGGUGGGUAGGAUGAGAAUUCUCAGGCGCUUGAGAGAACUCGGGUGAAGGAACUAGGCAACAUGGCACCGUAACUUCGGGAGAAGGUGCACCCUUUUUGGUGGCUCAUGCGAGCUAUAGCUGAAGAGGGUCGCAGAAACCAGGCCGCUGCGACUGUUUAUCAAAAACACAGCACUCUGCAAACACGAAAGUGGACGUAUAGGGUGUGACGCCUGCCCGGUGCUGGAAGGUUAAUUGAUGGGGUCAGCCGCAAGGCGAAGCUCUUGAUCGAAGCCCCAGUAAACGGCGGCCGUAACUAUAACGGUCCUAAGGUAGCGAAAUUCCUUGUCGGGUAAGUUCCGACCUGCACGAAUGGCGUAACGACAGCGGCGCUGUCUCCACCCGAGACUCAGUGAAAUUGAAAUCGCUGUGAAGAUGCAGCGUUCCCGUGGCAAGACGGAAAGACCCCGUGAACCUUUACUAUAGCUUUACACUGAACGUUGAGUUCGUCUGUGUAGGAUAGGUGGGAGGCUAUGAAACUGUGGCGCUAGCUGCAGUGGAGCCAUCCUUGAAAUACCACCCUGUCGUGCUUGACGUUCUAACCUAGGUCCGUUAUCCGGAUCAGGGACCGUGUAUGGUGGGUAGUUUGACUGGGGCGGUCUCCUCCUAAAGAGUAACGGAGGAGCACGAAGGUACGCUCAGCGCGGUCGGACAUCGCGCACUGUGUGCAAAGGCAUAAGCGUGCUUGACUGCAAGAUCGACGGAUCAAGCAGGUACGAAAGUAGGUCUUAGUGAUCCGGUGGUUCUGUAUGGAAGGGCCAUCGCUCAACGGAUAAAAGGUACUCCGGGGAUAACAGGCUGAUACCGCCCAAGAGUUCAUAUCGACGGCGGUGUUUGGCACCUCGAUGUCGGCUCAUCACAUCCUGGGGCUGUAGUCGGUCCCAAGGGUAUGGCUGUUCGCCAUUUAAAGUGGUACGCGAGCUGGGUUCAGAACGUCGUGAGACAGUUCGGUCCCUAUCUGCCAUGGGCGUUGGAAGUUUGAGAGGGGCUGCUCCUAGUACGAGAGGACCGGAGUGGACGAACCUCUGGUGUUCCGGUUGUCACGCCAGUGGCAUUGCCGGGUAGCUAUGUUCGGAAGCGAUAACCGCUGAAAGCAUCUAAGCGGGAAGCGCGCCUCAAGAUGAGACUUCCCGGGGCACAAGCCCCCUAAAGGAACCAUGUAGACUACGUGGUUGAUAGGUCAGGUGUGUAAGUACAGCAAUGUAUUGAGCUAACUGAUACUAAUGAUCCGUGCGGCUUGACC
rnacentral:rRNA from 1 species